CAAAGGAAGAAGCCACCACUUUAGCACCUUCAGGCUCAUAGGCAGCCCAGCAGAGGAGCAAGAAGGUUGAAGGAAAAUGAUUCUACAUGGAAGCAAAUCUACAGAAACGAAUGAAGAGUGUCAGAAAUGUCAAAUAUGAAUUCCAUUCCUAUGUUUUACCUCAGAGAAAGAAAUACAUGUAUCCACACAAAGACUCGCAUAUAAAUAUUCAAGCAAGCUUCAUUCGUAAUAUCUGGAAACUGGACACAACAUAAGUGUUCAUCAGGAGAGGCCUAAGUUUGCAGUCUGCAGAGCUAUCUGCUGGGCUGGCGGGAGAGCUGGAGAGCUGUGAAAAGAAACCAGAGAAGCUUGCUCACAAAAGACUGAAAUCCUGAUCACAGAGAAGUCUUCUGAAAUGGGAGGAAACUUGGUUCUUUUCUAUUUCCCUUUGGCUAAAACGUGGCUCUCAUUCACGUGCCCGAUGCGCCAGGGCCCCAAGGAGACAGGCUCAUUUCCAGUAUUGACGUGCCUGCCGUCCGUCAAAGACCUGGUGGAUGCUUCCCGCCACCCGGAUUCAUCUGCCUCCAGGACAGAGGGGCCCAUCGGGCAAUCCAUCACGGAGCACACCUGGUCUGCCCACAGGAGA